rnacentral:lncRNA from 1 species
GAAAACUUAUCUGGGGUAAACAUGUCAGACUUAUUUCAACAUCAAAAUUAUUUUCAGCAAUCCUUUAGUUUCAUCAGCAAGGACACCCCCGAAUUUCCACUAAGAGAAACAAACGAUGUGUUUUUUGGUAUGGUAUAGCAAAACCAAAAUGAAAACGAGACAAGAACAACAAUCCUUGGCUUUCCCCCUCUUUGGAUAAAUACAAAGUAACACGUAUUUGUAUCUGUAGUGCACAAGGAGGCUAAAAUGGGCUAGGUUGUUUGCUGAAAAGUGACGCUAAAGAGACAAUUCAAAACUUCAAAGUAAAGCUAAAGCAUGUGUAGAGGUACUUGAAAAUGGAUAUCUACUUACUAAGGCAUGUGCACGUUCGUGUCACCGCCGUUGACUGCGUCAUCAGGACACCGAGCUGGUGUGAGGAGUUGGGUCAAAUUCGCAUCACCGUCGUCGACGUCAGCAUCAAGAAUCGCCGAGAAAGUGUCAAGGGUUAGAUACAGCCGACUGUGAUGUUCUGAGGACUCCCCUUACAGGCAGAGAGGC